rnacentral:rRNA from 1 species
UUAGUGGCGAACGGGUGAGUAACACGUGGGCAAUCUGCCCUGCACUCUGGGACAAGCCCUGGAAACGGGGUCUAAUACCGGAUAUGACUGUCCGCCGCAUGGUGGAUGGUGUAAAGCUCCGGCGGUGCAGGAUGAGCCCGCGGCCUAUCAGCUUGUUGGUGAGGUAGUGGCUCACCAAGGCGACGACGGGUAGCCGGCCUGAGAGGGCGACCGGCCACACUGGGACUGAGACACGGCCCAGACUCCUACGGGAGGCAGCAGUGGGGAAUAUUGCACAAUGGGCGAAAGCCUGAUGCAGCGACGCCGCGUGAGGGAUGACGGCCUUCGGGUUGUAAACCUCUUUCAGCAGGGAAGAAGCGAGAGUGACGGUACCUGCAGAAGAAGCGCCGGCUAACUACGUGCCAGCAGCCGCGGUAAUACGUACGGCGCAAGCGUUGGGCGGAAUUAUUGGGCGUAAAGAGCUCGUAGGCGGCUUGUCACGUCGGUUGUGAAAGCCCGGG